rnacentral:rRNA from 1 species
UUUAACGAAAGUGGCGAACGGGUGAGUAACACGUGAGCAACCUGCCUUACACAGGGGGAUAGCCAUUGGAAACGGUGAUUAAUACCCCAUAAGACCACAAUACCGCAUGGUAAAAGGGUAAAAGGGUAAAAGGGAUACCGGUGUAAGAUGGGCUCGCGUCUGAUUAGCUAGUUGGUGGGGUAAAGGCCUACCAAGGCGACGAUCAGUAGCCGGUCUGAGAGGAUGAACGGCCACAUUGGAACUGAGACACGGUCCAAACUCCUACGGGAGGCAGCAGCC